GGGUGAGCUGAUUGGGCCAUGUGUCACUCCUCGACCCACAGGGUUGAUUCUGCUGACCUGGUUGACCAGGCAGGUGUUCUUUACCACCCCAUGUGUAAUCCUGCUUAAAGAGGACAGCCUUUCCAGAACAGAGAUGGGCAGGUCUGAGGAUGAAGGUAUAGGAGUCCUGUGCUCCCCUUCUAAAGCCUCCAGACAAGCACUCAAGAAAAAAAAAAAAAGCCAGGGAAAGUCAGGGUGAGUCAUUAACAAGUGCACUGUACCUGUAUAUCUGG
rnacentral:snRNA from 1 species